GAAGGCUGGUCACCCCACCCUAAUCUUGUUAUGCAAAUAGGCUUCCCACUUGGCAGGGGCCGUCUUGUCCACUCGUUUCUGUAAACAUGGGUGGCAAAAAGAGAAGAUGGAGCUGCCAUUUAGAACAUGCCUAAUCCCAGCUUCAUCUUGCUGAGCAAAAAUGAAGGAGCCUGGACCCAACUUUGUUACUGUGAGAAAGGGUCUUCAUUCAUUCAAGAUGGCAUUUGUUAAGCACCUACUACAAACCUUGGAAAUCAAGAAAGUUCUGGAAUGAUGAAGCUGUUCAUGCCAAGACCGAAAGUGCUGGCCCAGUAUGAGUCCAUUCAGUUCAUGCCGUGACAAUUUUCUUGGAACUCCUUUUUAUUGUUAGCUUGUGCUCCUGGUACAUCAGCCCAUUUCAUGGUACGUUGAAGCAUGCCUCCCUGUGGGAUUGCUGGAUUCCCAGCCCAGUGAGGUAAUGACCAAGCAGCGUCUUCAGAGGAAGGAUAGCUGUACAGCGUGGUGAAGGACUCAAUGAGAAGGUGCAUUGCCCAUCCUUCAGAGAGCUCUGUGUGAAUCCAUAAAAGGUGCUUAAAGCUUUUCACUCCAUGAAGCCUCAUCUGUCUCAUGAAAGCAAUAAAUAAGCUUCUCCAGCACCAGCCUUCCCCCAAACCAGAACAAGAGCAUUGAUCUACACCCAAGAGGAGCAGGAAUCAGCAGAAACACAAUGGAACAAACUGAUAUGCCAUCUAGUGGAAACACAGAAAGCCUCAAAUGAAAAUCUCAGCCAAAAUGAGGCCACUCAACCAGUGUCCAGUGAAUCAAGUUUCUGACAAAAGUCAGCUAAAUCAAACACCUCUGUGUUUCACCCUUUUUGAUGGCAACGCCUUAAAUGUGACUGCUGCUCAGAAAGCCAAGUAAAGAAAAUAUAAUGGGGCUGCUAUUGGCUCAUUCCGAAUCAGGCAUUUUCUCUCAG
rnacentral:lncRNA from 1 species